UGUUCAGGUAUAUAGCUUUGGUAUACGGGCACACUGCUCUACGUGCAAGCAUAAACUCACCAUAGCAACAAUACGAGUUAAAUUCCAUGUCACUCGUAGACUCAUCUGAGGUACAUCUCAAGAAAAUCCAUCUAGCUUUGAGCUCUGUCACUGAAGCAAACGCUCGAUUUCGUUUUACAUAAUUAAAUUUUUCAUGUAACGCCUUAUCUUUAGUUGGAAGUGAGAUGAAAUAAGACCUGUAAAGCUCCAGAAGAUGAAGCGGUCGCUUGUAUUCCAGCACCUUUUUAUCUUUCCUCAUCAUCACCUCGCCAUAGUUUAAGUAAUUAAAGAAUUUGUUUAGGACCAUUUCACCUUUAUCUUUGGGGAACUUCAACGUCAACAAAACAUCGAGUACUACAAAGGGGAUCUGGUUCUCUAGCAACAAAAGAUCACGCUUUAUGUUCGCAAACCCUAUUGCGCCCAAGUACUCAUUAUUUAAGAAUACAUUGGUGUGUCCACACGGCAUUCGUUCAAUAUAGAGCAAAAUAAAACAAGCGUCUCGUAACAUCAUUUGAUUAAACUCGUGAUCGCUGUAAUCGUCAGUAGAACCAUCGAUAUAACACUUUCUUGCAUCAUGUACCACCUCAAACACCAUGUUGUAUAAAGUAUCAAUAGUUUCUCCAGUGCUCGAACUAUACUCUUCUAGUGUUAUGAGUUUGUACUCCUCCGCUUGAGCAAGGGCAGGUUGGUUAUGGUGAUACGGGCCAACUUUUGGUGGUCGUCUUGCCUGUAAGGCAGUUAACCCACUCCAUGGCCUGGCUAGAAAUUUUGUCCGUGACCGGUCGACUACAGGGGAUUUCAAACAUUACAUGCUCACUUUCAGUCAUCUUCAUACUCAUCUCCUUCUCCAUUGGGUUU
rnacentral:lncRNA from 1 species